CCGGGGCUCAGCCAUACACCGAAACUGCGGGUGCAUCUUAUGAUGCGCGGUAGCGGAGCGUUCUGUAAGUCUGCGAAGGGAUACCUGUGAGGGGUCCUGGAGAUAUCAGAAGUGCGAAUGCUGACAUGAGUAACGAUAAAGCGGGUGAGAGACCCGCUCGCCGAAAGUCCAAGGGUUCCUGCGCAACGCUAAUCGGCGCAGGGUUAGCCGGCCCCUAAGGCGAGGCCGAAAGGCGUAGUCGAUGGGAAUGCAGUUAAUAUUCUGCAGCUUGGUGGUAGUGACGGAUGCAGUGUGUUGUAUCUCCUUAUUGGAUUGGGGGUGCAGCGAAUGUGUUCCAGGAAAUAGCUCCACUUUAUAAACCGUACCCGAAACCGACACAGGUGGACUGGUAGAGAAUACCAAGGCGCUUGAGAGAACUAUGCUGAAGGAACUCGGCAAAAUGCUCCCGUAAGUUCGCGAGAAGGGAGACCUCGGUCCGGGCAACCGGAUUGGGGUGGCACAGACCAGGGGGUGGCGACUGUUUAUCAAAAACACAGGGCUCUGCGAAGCCGCAAGGCGACGUAUAGGGUCUGACGCCUGCCCGGUGCUGGAAGGUUAAGAGGAGGUGUGCAAGCACCGAAUUGAAGCCCCAGUAAACGGCGGCCGUAACUAUAACGGUCCUAAGGUAGCGAAAUUCCUUGUCGGGUAAGUUCCGACCUGCACGAAUGGCGUAACGACUUCCCCGCUGUCUCCAGCAUAGACUCAGUGAAAUUGAAUUCCCCGUGAAGAUGCGGGGUUCCUGCGGUCAGACGGAAAGACCCCGUGCACCUUUACUACAGCUUCACACUGGUAUUCGUCACGACAUGUGUAGGAUAGGUGGUAGACGUUGAAGCCUUGGCGCCAGCUGAGGUGGAGUCACCCUUGAAAUACCACCCUUGUCGUCAUGGAUAUCUAACCGCGGUACAACAAUAUCCGGGACCGUGUGUGGCGGGUAGUUUGACUGGGGCGGUCGCCUCCCAAAUGGUAACGGAGGCGCGCGAAGGUGGGCUCAGAGCGGUCGGAAAUCGCUCGUUGAGUGCAAUGGCAUAAGCCUGCCUGACUGCGAGACUGACAAGUGGAGCAGAGACGAAAGUCGGCCAUAGUGAUCCGGUGGUCCCUCGUGGAAGGGCCAUCGCUCA
rnacentral:rRNA from 1 species